rnacentral:lncRNA from 1 species
AUUGCAUAAUAUGAUUUCAAUUGACCAAUUUCAUAUUGAGACUGUCCUUUUUCCCACACAAUUUCUUCAUAUUUUUUCUGUAACAAAUAGAGAUAUUAAAAUAGACUCAACUUCCUGUUGCUUCUUUCAUUUUCAUGUAUAAUAAAAACUUUUGAUAGAAGUCAAUACAAAAGAAAAAUAAGAGAAUAGUAUCAUAAGAUGUAAAAUUAUGAACUUACGUGGAGAAGUCGGGAAUGCUCGUACAAAUAUAACUCACUUGGAGUUGGAUCUUGACCCAUUUUAAUAGCCUAUACAAAUAAAUAAUUGACAUAGUCAAAAUUUUCUUCAUAAAGAAGAUAGAUGAUGAAUUUAAG